AUCCUUUUGUGGCUCAUAAAUGUGACCACUGGAAUUGUACACUAUUGUGUAAGAUGUGCCUCCCUCUAACCUCAUUACAACACUGGCACAUGACUCUUCUGGUG
ensembl:snoRNA